rnacentral:rRNA from 1 species
AGUGAACGCUGGCGGUAGGCCUAACACAUGCCAGUCGAACGGCAGCACAGUAAGAGCUUGCUCUUACGGGUGGCGAGUGGCGGACGGGUGAGGAAUACAUCGGAAUCUACUUUUUCGUGGGGGAUAACGUAGGGAAACUUACGCUAAUACCGCAUACGACCUACGGGUGAAAGCAGGGGAUCUUCGGACCUUGCGCGAUUGAAUGAGCCGAUGUCGGAUUAGCUAGUUGGCGGGGUAAAGGCCCACCAAGGCGACGAUCCGUAGCUGGUCUGAGAGGAUGAUCAGCCACACUGGAGCUGAGACACGGUCCAGACUCCUACGGGAGGCAGCAGUGGGGAAUAUUGGACAAUGGGCGCAAGCCUGAUCCAGCCAUACCGCGUGGGUGAAGAAGGCCUUCGGGUUGUAAAGCCCUUUUGUUGGGAAAGAAAAGCAGCAGGUUAAUACCCCGCUGUUCUGACGGUACCCAAAGAAUAAGCACCGGCUAACUUCGUG